rnacentral:rRNA from 1 species
UACGAAGGGGGCUAGCGUUGCUCGGAAUCACUGGGCGUAAAGCGCACGUAGGCGGAUUGUUAAGUCAGGGGUGAAAUCCUGGAGCUCAACUCCAGAACUGCCUUUGAUACUGGCGAUCUCGAGUCCGGGAGAGGUGAGUGGAACUGCGAGUGUAGAGGUGAAAUUCGUAGAUAUUCGCAAGAACACCAGUGGCGAAGGCGACUCACUGGCCCGGUACUGACGCUGAGGUGCGAAAGCGUGGGGAGCGAACAGG